AAUCCGAGAAUUUCACCUCUAACGCGGCCAUACGUACGGCUCCGAUGGUCCCCAUCGAUCAUUACCCGGCCGCCAAGAAAGCCAACGAAAUAGCGGCCGGGUCCUUUUCCAUUAUUCCAUGCACCACUGUUCAGGCUGCGUAUAGCACCUAUACGCCUGCUUUGAGCACUCCAAUUUUUUCAAAGUAAACAUGCCGCAAGCACGCCACUCGCACCUAAGCGAAUCACGCACCACACGACAGUUGGUGCCGGCGACCGCCACAAGCCGGCCACAUCUGCGCGACCGAACAUGCGGCAGCGCGCGACCCGAAGGCCGCUUACAGCUACCUCUCGCACCGCUUAACGGCACGGGGAGCCCGCCGGCCACCCAAAUUCGACUACGAGCGUUUUAACCGCAGCAG
rnacentral:misc_RNA from 2 species